GUCCCUGUAGUGCAAUGGAUAACGCAUUGUACUUUUAAUCCAAAUGUAGUUGAUUCAAAUCCAACCUGGGAUG